rfam:Triticum aestivum genome assembly, contig: Triticum_aestivum_CS42_TGACv1_scaffold_061538_1DL
CAACUACUCCCUCUGUCCCAAAUUUCUUCUCUUAGAUUUGUCUAGAUACGGAUGUAUCUAAUACUAAAAUGUGACUUGAUACAUCCGUAUCUAGACAAAUCUAAGACAAGAAUUUUGGGACGGAGGGAGUACUUU